rnacentral:rRNA from 1 species
CCUCCGGGUGGCUGCAGUGGGGGAUAUUGCACAAUGGGGGGAACCCUGAUGCAGCGACGCCGCGUGAGUGAAGAAGUAUCUCGGUAUGUAAAGCUCUAUUAGCAGGGAAGAAGCAAGACGGUACCUGACUAAGAUGCCCCGGCUAACUACGUGCCAGCCGCCGCGGUAAUACGCAGGGGGCGCGCGUUAUCCGGAUUUACUGGGUGUAAAGGGAGCGUAUAGGGCAUGGAAAGUCUGGAGUGAAAGCCCGGGGCCCAACCCCGGGACUGCUCUGGAAACUGCCAUGCUAGAGUGCUGGAGAGGUAAAUGGAAUUCCUGGUGUAGCGGUGAAAUGCGUAGAUAUUAGGAGGAACACCAGUGGCGAAGGCGGCUUACUGGACAGUGACUGACGUUGAGGCUCGAAAGCGUGGGGAGCAAACAGGAUUAGAUACCCUGGUAGUC